GACGAACGCUGGCGGCGUGCUUAACACAUGCAAGUCGAACGGAAAGGCCCUGCUUUUGUGGGGUUCUCGAGUGGCGAACGGGUGAGUAACACGUGAGUAACCUGCCCUUGACUUUGGGAUAACUUCAGGAAACUGGGGCUAAUACCGUAUAGGAGCUCCUGCUGCAUGGUGGGGGUUGGAAAGUUUCGGCGGUUGGGGAUGGACUCGCGGCUUAUCAGCUUGUUGGUGGGGUAGUGGCUUACCAAGGCUUUGACGGGUAGCCGGCCUGAGAGGGUGACCGGGGACAAUGGGACUGAGGGAGGGAGCAGACUCGUACGGGAGGCAACAGGGGGGAGUAUUGCCCAGUGGGCGGAAGCGUGAGACAGCGACGCCGCGUGCGGAAUGACGGCCUUCGGGUUGUAAACAGCUGUCGCCUGUGACGAAGCGUGAGUGACGGUAAUGAGUAAAGAAGCACCGGCUAACUACGUG
rnacentral:rRNA from 1 species